UCAUCUUAAAGCACAAACAAAGCGAGAGGGAAGCGAGAAAUAGAAAGCACUAUAAGGCUGGGGUGGCCUCUUACGCAUACCAAUGGUUUUUGUCAUUUAUGGCUAUGCAAGAUUUAUGACUUCAUGCACCAAAGCUGUAAACAGAGCACUAAAACAGAAAACACUUGCUCCUUAUGGCAUAAGUGAGAAGGCACCACAUGAAAGGGGAAGCAGGGAGCGUAGGAGGAGAGGCAGAAAUCCCGCGUAUGCGUUUUGCUUCAAACAACCCCUUGAAUGUUGCAUCGGAAGAAAAAAAAAAAAGUCUUUUUAGUCAAUAAUCAACCCCACACUUUCUUCUGAAACUGCUGAUCGGCCAGUCGCCCACUUGCCCGACCAAAUAGCGAGCCGCAGAGCUGCGCCCCGACGGAGUCCCCGGACUGGAAAGGAGGAUUUGGAGAGGGAAAGCGAGUCCGGGACUGCAGGAACCUGCGGCCGCCGGGGACCCGCCGAUGUGGGGAGCCUGCCGAGAGCCUGGGCCACCUUUUCCUGGGAGCGUGUUUAAACUUGGGAGCCGACUCCAGCAGGAUACUGUGACUACAUAUUCCCAUUCAGAGAGAGGGGAAAAAAGAAGCCCACAUUUCUAAAGCUGAUUUAUUGUUAGAAGCCAUGACUGGCUCUUGGUUCAGCUCUCUCACAGCGGAGAAAAAACGAGAAGCCCCCUCGGCUUUUUUUGAAAGGGGAAGCUUUGCCCCAGGUCUGAGCACCCAUGCAGCCCUCCGCACACGGUAAACAACGUACCACCAAAGCAUCAUAAAUAAAAUGGCAGCGUGAUCACACAGUCAUCGAUUUACAGAGCGGCAGCGGCCGAAUAAACCCCCAUAAAAGAACAACCGCCACCACACUCGAGUACGACCCCGACAGAGGAGCACUCCUCCCAGUCGUGUUCCCUCACUUCCCCAAGUGCAUAAAUGCAUAAACAAACACACAAAUAAAAUUAUAAAAAAGUAAAAUAAAAUUAAAGCGGGGGAAACAUCCAAACACGACAAUAAAAGAGGCUUCCCAUCUCUAGCAGGUCAUAAAUAAUGAUAAGAUGGCAAUGGAGGGGCUGGAGUGGAGGCAGCUGGGCAUCAACAGCAGUGUGGGAUCUCUAUGGAGAAAAAUAAAUAAAGCAGCAAACUCUCCCUGAUCUGCUCCCUGUGAGGGGAGAGUUGAAUAUUUACCGCAGCAAAUUGAAACAAAGAGGGAAGCAGCCCGGCUCCGGGUGCCCACACACCCGCACGCACACACACACACACGCACUCCCUCCAGCCUCCGCCACUGACCUUUGCCUCGAACAGCCAUAACUCACCACAGAAAUGAACAAUCAACGGAAAUACCUUAAAAUAAAAUCCAUCCUUUCUAACGAA